CAAAAAUGUCAUGCGGUUCAGCAACUUUUCUGCCUAAUUAGGUGAGCUGCUACUAAUAUGCUUACACAUUUACAAAAUUUUUUUUCUCCAUCUGUUUUUUAUAAUUCAUUUUAUCAUUUAAACACUAUCGAGUCUAUUUGAAACAAAACAAUAAGUUUAUUAUAAUUUAUAACAAACAUAUAAAGCAUAUUUAUUAAUAUAACCGUA